AGAGUUUGAUCCUGGCUCAGGAUGAACGCUAGCUACAGGCUUAACACAUGCAAGUCGAGGGGCAGCAGGACGAUAGCUUGCUAUUGUUGCUGGCGACCGGCGCACGGGUGAGUAACGCGUAUCCAACCUGGCCCGUAGUAGGGAAUAGCCCGGCGAAAGCCGGAUUAAUGCCCUAUGUUUUCCUUUGAGGACAUCUGAUUUGGAAUAAAGGUUCACCGCUAUGGGAUGGGGAUGCGUCUGAUUAGCUUGUCGGCGGGGUAACGGCCCACCGAGGCAACGAUCAGUAGGGGUUCUGAGAGGAAGGUCCCCCACAUUGGUACUGAGACACGGACCAAACUCCUACGGGAGGCAGCAGUGAGGAAUAUUGGUCAAUGGGCGAGAGCCUGAACCAGCCAAGUAGCGUGCAAGGAAGACUGCCCUAUGGGUUGUAAACUGCUUUUAUGCGGGAAUAAAGUGCACUACGUGUAGUGUUUUGUAUGUACCGCAUGAAUAAGGACCGGCUAAUUCCGUGCCAGCCGCUGC
rnacentral:rRNA from 1 species